rnacentral:rRNA from 1 species
GAUGAACGCUGGCGGCGUGCCUAAUACAUGCAAGUCGAGCGAACAGAUGAGGAGCUUGCUCCUCUGACGUUAGCGGCGGACGGGUGAGUAAAACGUGGAUAACCUACCUAUAAGACUGGGAUAACUUCGGGAAACCGGAGCUAAUACCGGAUAAUAUAUUGAACCGCAUGGUUCAAUAGUGAAAGACGGUUUUGCUGUCACUUAUAGAUGGAUCCGCGCCGCAUUAGCUAGUUGGUAAGGUAACGGCUUACCAAGGCAACGAUGCGUAGCCGACCUGAGAGGGUGAUCGGCCACACUGGAACUGAGACACGGUCCAGACUCCUACGGGAGGCAGCAAUAGGGAAUCUUCCGCAAUGGGCGAAAGCCUGACGGAGCAACGCCGCGUGAGUGAUGAAGGUCUUCGGAUCGUAAAACUCUGUUAUUAGGGAAGAACAAAUGUGUAAGUAACUAUGCACGUCUUGACGGCACCUAAUCAGAAAGCCACGGCUAACUACGUG